rnacentral:rRNA from 1 species
GAUGAACGCUGGCGGCGUGCCUAAUACAUGCAAGUCGAGCGAACGGACGAGAAGCUUGCUUCUCUGAUGUUAGCGGCGGACGGGUGAGUAACACGUGGAUAACCUACCUAUAAGACUGGGAUAACUUCGGGAAACCGGAGCUAAUACCGGAUGAUAUUUUGAACCGCAUGGUUCAAAAGUGAAAGACGGUCUUGCUGUCACUUAUAGAUGGAUCCGCGCUGCAUUAGCUAGUUGGUAAGGUAACGGCUUACCAAGGCAACGAUGCAUAGCCGACCUGAGAGGGUGAUCGGCCACACUGGAACUGAGACACGGUCCAGACUCCUACGGGAGGCAGCAGUAGGGAAUCUGCCGCAAUGGGCGAAAGCCUGACGGAGCAACGCCGCGUGAGUGAUGAAGGUCUUCGGAUCGUAAAACUCUGUUAUUAGGGAAGAACAUAUGUGUAAGUAACUGUGCACAUCUUGACGGUACCUAAUCAGAAAGCCACGGCGAACUACGU